UCGAUCAGCGUCCUCCAGAAUGGACCA
rnacentral:piRNA from 1 species